ensembl:lncRNA
CAGAGUCCAGGCAAAGGAUGUGGGCAGGCUUGCCGAAGGGGGCUCGGCCUAGCUCUUCUGGCUAGUGUCGGGGCCAGGAAGUAUCCUGGUUUUCAUAAAAACUGGGGUGAACGGUCCUACACUUAGGCUUUGGACACUGAUUACGCAUCUGCCCUUUAGUGAGGGCCAGGAUGCAAAGAUGCACCAAAGGUCACAAUUGGCCUCAGAAAGUUUACCAGCUACUGAGACAAACAGACCGGCAGCCCCACCCCACUCCCAUAGUGGGCAAGCUCACUGGCUUGGGAGGCACACAGAUCUGGCUCCAGCCUCUGCGAAGCCUCGGCCUUCAUCAGUACGACAGGGACAGUACGUGGAGCUGGCUCUUAGAAGACUGUGAGUGUUCUGAGAACUGCUGCACGCGAAGUGCCAUGGCUGUCCAGGCCCGUGAGGGAGCAUCAUGGACCAUAGCUUAGUCAAUCAGCCUUUUAGCAUCCUGUACUUCUCAGUAGCAUUCAACAUCUGUUGGAUCAUAGACAAAGCAAGAGAAUUCCAGAAAAACAACUACUUCCGCUUCAUUGACUAGGCUAAAGCCUUUGACUGUGUGCAUCACAACAAACAGUGGAAAAUUCUUAAAGAGAUGGGAAUACCAGACCACCUUACCUCUCUCCUGAGAAACCUGCAUGUAAGUCAAGAAGCAACAGUUAGAACUGGACACGGAAUAAUGGACUAGUUCCAAAUUGGGAAAGGAAUACCUCAAGGCUCUAUAUUGUCA